rnacentral:rRNA from 1 species
UAGGGAAUCUUCGGCAAUGGACGAAAGUCUGACCGAGCAACGCCGCGUGAGUGAAGAAGGUUUUCGGAUCGUAAAACUCUGUUGUUAGAGAAGAACGUUGCAUAGAGUGGAAAAUUAUGCAAGUGACGGUAUCUAACCAGAAAGGGACGGCUAACUACGUGCCAGCGGCCGCGGUAAUACGUAGGUCCCGAGCGUUGUCCGGAUUUAUUGGGCGUAAAGCGAGCGCAGGUGGUUUAAUAAGUCUGAUGUAAAAGGCAGUGGCUCAACCAUUGUGUGCAUUGGAAACUGUUAGACUUGAGUGCAGUAGAGGAGAGUGGAAUUCCAUGUGUAGCGGUGAAAUGCGUAGAUAUAUGGAGGAACACCGGUGGCGAAAGCGGCUCUCUGGACUGUCACUGACACUGAGGCUCGAAAGCGUGGGUAGCAAACAGGAUUAGAUACCCUGGUAGUCCACGCCGUAAACGAUGAGUGCUAGUUGUUUGGGGCUAUCCAGCCCUAAGUGACGCAGCAAACGCAUUAAGCACUCCGCCUGGGGAGUACGACCGCAAGGUUGAAAC